GAUGAAGAAUGCAGCGAAAUGCGAUACGUAAUGUGAAUUGCAGAAUUCAGUGAAUCAUCGAGUCUUUGAACGCACAUUGCGCCCCCUGGUAUUCCGGGGGGCAUGCCUGUCCGAGCGUCAUUGCUGCCCUCAAGCACGGCUUGUGUGUUGGGCCUCCGUCCUCCUCCCGGGGGACGGGCCCGAAAGGCAGCGGCGGCACCGCGUCCGGUCCUCGAGCGUAUGGGGCUUCGUCACCCGCUCUUGUAGGCCCGGCCGGCGCUUGCCGACACAUCAAUCUUUUUUCCAGGUUGACCUCGGAUCAGGUAGGGAUACCCGCUGAACUUAAGCAUAUCAAUAAGCGGAGGA
rnacentral:misc_RNA from 1 species